GACGAACGCUGGCGGCGUGCUUAACACAUGCAAGUCGAACGGAAAGGCCCUUCCCUUGUGGGGUGCUCGGGUGGCGAACGGGUGAGUAACGCAAGAGUAACCUGCCCUUGCCUUUUGGAUUACUUCAGGGCACUGGGGCUAAUCCAGGAUAGGAGCUCCUGCUUCAUUGUGGGGGUUGGAAAGGGUCGGGGGUUGGGGCUGGUCUCGCGGCGUAUCAGCUUGUUGGUGGGGUUGGGGCUUACGAAGGCUUUGACGGGUGGCCGGCCUGAGAGGGUGAGAGGCCACGUUGGGACUGCGACACGGCCCAGACGCCUGGGGGAGGCAGCAGUGGGGGAUAGUGCACAAUGGGCGGAAGCCGUAUGCAGCAACGCCGCGUGCGGGAUGACGGCCUUCGGGUUGUAAACCGCUUUCGCCUGGGACGAGGCGGGAGUGACGGUAAUGGGUAAAGAAGCACCGGCUAACUACGUG
rnacentral:rRNA from 1 species